CCUACGGGGGGCUGCAGUGAGGAAUAUUGGUCAAUGGACGCAAGUCUGAACCAGCCAUGCCGCGUGCAGGAAGACGGCUCUAUGAGUUGUAAACUGCUUUUGUACGAGGGUAAACGCAGAUACGUGUAUCUGUCUGCAAGUAUCUUACGAAUAAGGAUCGGCUAACUCCGUGCCAGCAGCCGCGGUAAUACGGAGGAUUCAAGCGUUAUCCGGAUUUAUUGGGUUUAAAGGGUGCGUAGGCGGUCGGAUAAGUUAGAGGUGAAAUCCCGAGGCUCAACUUCGGAAUUGCCUCUGAUACUGUUCGGCUAGAGAGUAGUUGCGGUAGGCGGAAUGUAUGGUGUAGCGGUGAAAUGCUUAGAGAUCAUACAGAACACCGAUUGCGAAGGCAGCUUACCAAGCUACGUCUGACGUUGAGGCACGAAAGCGUGGGGAGCAAACAGGAUUAGAUACCCUUGUAGUC
rnacentral:rRNA from 1 species